ACUCCUACGGGAGGCAGCAGUGGGGAAUAUUGGACAAUGGGGGCAACCCUGAUCCAGCAAUGCCGCGUGUGUGAAGAAGGCCUGAGGGUUGUAAAGCACUUUCAGUGGGGAGGAGGUUUAUUUGGUUAAGAGCUGAGUAGAUGGACGUUACCCACAGAAGAAGCACCGGCUAACUCCGUGCCAGCAGCCGCGGUAAUACGGAGGGUGCAAGCGUUAAUCGGAAUUACUGGGCGUAAAGGGUUCGUAGGUGGUCUAUAAGUUAUUGUGAAAUCCCUGGGCUUAACCUGGGCAGGUCAGAUAAUACUGGUAGACUCGAGUAUGGGAGAGGUAGUGGAAUUUCCGGUGUAGCGGUGAAAUGCGUAGAGAUCGGAAGGAACACCAGUGGCGAAGGCGGCUACCUGGCCUAAUACUGACACUGAGGAACGAAAGCGUGGGAGCAAACAGGAUUAGAUACCCUGGUAGCACAGGG
rnacentral:rRNA from 1 species